rnacentral:lncRNA from 1 species
GAUGAGAAGAGUUGCAUUAAAAAUGUUAAUGUUGGGGUCCCAAAAUAUCUACCCUCAUCUCAAAGGAAGCUGCAUAUGCACUGGAUAUGGAACACACCUUUCAUGGCUUCAAACAUGAUGGUCCCAUUGGUGGUUCACUGAAAAAGAAAGAAAGAAAGAAAGAAAGAAUGAAACAACAAACACAAAAAGUUGAGUGUUUUCAUGGAGUCAUUCCAAGGGUUUCUGCGGCUCCGGCAAUGGCUUGACUAUUUUAUUGUAUUUUUUUUCCCUCUAUUUACUUGUGGUUUGUGUGUCUGUGUUUUAGUUUGCUUGCAAGUUUGGUGCCUGGAUCCUUCAUUUCUAAUAUGUAGUCAAAAGUCGAUUGAUGAUUGCUCACGAGGCAUAGUUUGGAAAGUGUGAACGGGAUGCUAAAGAGUUACAUCUUCGUCCCUUUUGUCAGUGCUUUUUAGAAUUAUAUGAUCACCCAAAAUCUUUUGCUCUCCCUUCGCUUCUGGCGUGAUGCCUCUAAUUUUAUUAUGAGAGUUGUUCCACUUAGAGUUUCUACAUGCUCAUGAAUAUUUUUGCUCACCGAUCGUUACUAUCUAAUGGAGGUUGUUGGCGAUGGUGGUAACGACGAUAGAGGGAUGAGUUUUUGCUAGGGUUCCAACUAAGGUUACUAUAUGGGGUUAGGGCUUGGGUUUUAUUUUAUUUCUUAAGCUAGACGCUCGAGAAUUAUGGGUUGUUAUUUAGACUUUAAAGCUCUUAUUUGUAUUGUAGCCUCAAACCUAUGUUUAUGAAAUGCAAGCUUUGACCUUGAAAAUAAUAAUAAUAAUAAUAAUCAAGAGCUUCUUAUGCUUUGGUAUCUAA